rnacentral:lncRNA from 1 species
AUUUUGCUUUAGAUUUUGCUUUAGAUUUGCAUUUAGACUGACUGAGAGCUAUCAGUUUGUCCUUUCGAGAAAAAUAAAAGGCCAACACCAUGGUUAAAAAAGGGUUUUUGUUAACCAUGCUCAAAGUUGCCACUACUCGUGUAUCAUCCAAGCUAUCAUGUGUGUUGAUGGAAAGCGAUCUAUUUGCAAUUAGACUGACUGAAAGCUAUCAGAUUGUCCUUUCCAAUUGCUGAAAAAGUUUCUUGGUUGGAUGCCAACAUCAGCCGUGUGAAGGCAACUCUUAAGACUAAGGACUUGCCUAUUAAAGCCGCUGCCUUCCAUAGCGAACACCAGGCUUUUGAAAGCAGCAUGAAUCCAGUUUUGAACAAACCCAAACCACAGCCUCCUGCCCCACCGGCUGAAGCUGCACAGUCGGGCAAGCCAGAGGAUGCUGCCAACGGCUCAACAAUAGUGCUCCCAGAAUUGAUCCGCGGACCGCAGUCCCGACUCCAUCAUGCGAAAUUAAUUGGCCGUGCAUCACCAACUUAUAUCGGAUGGGCGCUCCGUAUUGAAAACUAUUGCUAAAUUUCAUAAAGCUUUACAUAAUUUUGCUUGGACAAUCAUGUGUAAGUGGUGUAUAAAAUGAAAUGCGUGUUGAAUACAAAUUUUAAAUCGCG